rnacentral:rRNA from 1 species
GACGAAGGGGGCUAGCGUUGCUCGGAAUCACUGGGCGUAAAGCGCACGUAGGCGGCUUGUUAAGUCAGGGGUGAAAUCCUGGAGCUCAACUCCAGAACUGCCUUUGAUACUGGCGAGCUUGAGUUCGGGAGAGGUGAGUGGAACUGCGAGUGUAGAGGUGAAAUUCGUAGAUAUUCGCAAGAACACCAGUGGCGAAGGCGGCUCACUGGCCCGAUACUGACGCUGAGGUGCGAAAGCGUGGGGAGCAAACAGG